rnacentral:rRNA from 1 species
GACGAACGCUGGCGGCGUGCUUAACACAUGCAAGUCGAACGGACAGGCCCUGCUUUUGUGUGGUGCUCGAGUGACGAACGGUUGAGUAACACGUGGUUAACCUGCCCUUAACUUUGGGGUAACUUCGGGAAACUAGGGCUAAUACCGGAUAAGAGCUCAUGAUACAUAUUGUUGGUUGGAAAGUGUCGGCGGUUGGGGAUGGAAUCGCGGCUUGUCGGCUUGUUGGUGGGGUAGUGUCUUACCAAGGCAUGGGCGGGCAGCCGGCCUGAGAGGGGGACCGGCCACAUUGGGCCUGAGAUACGGCCCAGAGUCCAACGUGAGGCAGCAGUGGGGAACAGUGCACAAGGGGCGGAAGCCGGAUGCAGCAACGUCGGGUGCGGGAGGACGGUUUUCGGGUAGUAAACCGCUUGCGCCUGGGACGAAGCGUGAGUGACGGUAACGGGUAAUGAAGCACCGGCUAACUACGUG